UACGUAGGGUGCGAGCGGUAAUCGGAAUUACUGGGCGUAAAGCGUGCGCAGGCGGUACGUUAAGACAGGUGUGAAAUCCCCGGGCUUAACCUGGGAAUUGCGCUUGUGACUGGCGUGCUCGAGUGCGGCAGAGGGGGGUGGAAUUCCAGGUGUAGCAGUGAAAUGCGUAGAUAUCUGGAGGAACACCGAUGGCGAAGGCAGCCCCCUGGGCCGACACUGACGCUCAGGCACGAAAGCGUGGGGAGCAAACAGG
rnacentral:rRNA from 1 species